GAUGAACGCUGGCGGCGUGCCUAACACAUGCAAGUCGAGCGAACGGACGAUAAGCUUGCUUUUCUGAUGUUAGCGGCGGACGUGUGAGUAACACGUGUAUAACCCACCUAUAUUUCUGGGAUAAUUUCGGGAAACCGGAUCUAAUACCGGAUAAUAUUUUGCACCGCAUGGUUCAAAAGUGAAAGACGGUCUUGCUGUCACUUAUAGCUGGAUCCGCGCUGCAUUAGCUAGUUGGUAAGGUACCGGCUUACCAAGGCGACGAUGCAUAGCCGAACUGAGAGGGUGAUCGGCCACACUGGAACUGAGACACGGUCCAGACUCCUACGGGAGGCAGCAGUAGGGAAUCGUAGGCAAUGGGCGAAAGCAUGACGGAGCAACGCCGCGUGAGUGAUGAAGGUCUUCGGAUCGUAAAAAUCUGUUAUUAGGGAAGAACAGAUGUGGAAGUAGAUGUGGACAUAGUGACGGUACCUAAUCAAAAAGCAACGGCUAACUACGUG
rnacentral:rRNA from 1 species